rnacentral:rRNA from 1 species
GAGUUUGAUCAUGGCUCAGAUUGAACGCUGGCGGCAUGCCUUACACAUGCAAGUCGAACGGCAGCACGGGAGCUUGCUCCUGGUGGCGAGUGGCGAACGGGUGAGUAAUGCAUCGGAACGUAUCCUGGAGUGGGGGAUAACGUAGCGGAAGUUACGCUAAUACCGCAUAUUCUGUGAGCAGGAAAGCGGGGGACCUUCGGGCCUCGCGCUCUUGGAGCGGCCGAUGUCGGAUUAGCUAGUUGGUGAGGUAAAGGCUCACCAAGGCGACGAUCCGUAGCAGGUCUGAGAGGAUGAUCUGCCACACUGGAACUGAGACACGGUCCAGACUCCUACGGGAGGCAGCAGUGGGGAAUUUUGGACAAGUGGGGGCAACCCUGAUCCAGCCAUGCCGCGUGAGUGAAGAA